UAUAAUACACAAAAUUUAUCACUAAACAUGUAUGAAAUCACUAAAAGUGUUAGUUAUUGCAUUUUUGUAAAAAAAAAAUACCCAUUAGUGUGGGUGGAGUCGGGUAUGUGUCCCCGUCAGUGUGGGUGGAGGCGGGUAUGUGUCCCCGUCAGUGUGGGUGGAGGCGGGUACGUGUCCCCGUCAGUGUGGGUGGAGGCGGGUAUGUGUCCCCGUCAGUGUGGGUGGAGGCGGGUAUGUGUCCCCGUCAGUGUGGGUGGAGGCGGGUAUGUGUCCCCGUCAGUGUGGGUGGAGGCGGGUAUGUGUCCCCGUCAGUGUGGGUGGAGACGGGUAUGUGUCCCCGUCAUUGUGGGUGGAGACGGGUAUGUGUCCCCGUCAGUGUGGGUGGAGGCGGGUAUGUGUCCCCGUCAUUGUGGGUAGAGGCGGGUAUGUGUCCCCGUCAGUGUGGGUGGAGGCGGGUAUGUGUCCCCGUCAGUGUGGGUGGAGGCGGGUAUGUGUCCCCGUCAGUGUGGGUGGAGGCGGGUAUGUGUCCCCGUCAGUGUGGGUGGAGGCGGGUAUGUGUCCCGUCAGUGUGGGUGGAGGCGGGUAUGUGUCCCCCGUCAGUGUGGGUGGAGGCGGGUAUGUGUCCCCCGUCAGUGUGGGUGGAGGCGGGUAUGUGUCCCCGUCAGUGUGGGUGGAGGCGGGUAUGUGUCCCCGUCAGUGUGGGUGGAGGCGGGUAUGUGUCCCCGUCAGUGUGGGUGGAGACGGGUAUGUGUCCCCCGUCAGUGUGGGUUUAGGCGGGUUGUGGGUGGAGGCGGGUAUGUGUCCCCGUCAGUGUGGGUGGAGACGGGUAUGUGUCCCCGUCAGUGUGGGUGGAGGCGGGUAUGUGUCCCCGUCAGUGUGGGUGGAGGAGGGUAUGUGUCCCCCGUCAGUGUGGGUGGAGGAGGGUAUGUGUCCCCCGUCAGUGUGGGUGGAGGCGGGUAUGUGUCCCCGUCAGUGUGGGUGGAGGAGGGUAUGUGUCCCCGUCAGUGUGGGUGGAGGCGGGUAUGUGUCCCCGUCAGUGUGGGUGGAGACGGGUAUGUGUCCCCGUCAGUGUGGGUGGAGGCGGGUAUGUGUCCCCGUCAGUGUGGGUGGAGGCGGGUAUGUGUCCCCGUCAGUGUGGGUGGAGACGGGUAUGUGUCCCCGUCAGUGUGGGUGGAGACGGGUAUGUGUCCCCGUCAGUGUGGGUGGAGGCGGGUAUGUGUCCCCGUCAGUGUGGGUGGAGACGGGUAUGUGUCCCCGUCAGUGUGGGUGGAGACGGGUAUGUGUCCCCGUCACUGUAAGUAGAGACGGGUAUGUGUCCCCGUCAGUGUGGGUGGAGGCGGGUAUGUGUCCCCGUCAGUGUGGGUGGAGACGGGUAUGUGUCCCCGUCCUUGUGGGUAGAGACGGGUAUGUGUGUCCGUCAGUGUAGGUUCAGACGGGUAUGUGUCCCCGUCAGUGUAGGUGGAGACAGGGAUACAUGUGUCCCCCGUCAGUGUAGGUUGAGACGGGUAUGUGUCCCCCGUCAGUGUAGGUUGAGACGGGUAUGUGUCCCCGUCAGUGUGGGUGGAGACGGGUAUGUGUCCCCGUCAGUGUAGGUUCAGACGGGUAUGUGUCCCCGUCAGUGUGGGUGGAGACGGGUAUGUGUCCCCCGUCAGUGUAGGUUCAGACGGGUAUGUGUCCCCGUCAGUGUAGGUUCAGACGGGUAUGUGUCCCCGUCAGUGUAGGUGGAGACAGGGAUACAUGUGUCCCCCGUCAGUGUAGGUUGAGACGGGUAUGUGUCCCCCGUCAGUGUGGGUGGAGACGGGUAUGUGUCCCCGUCAGUGUAGGUUCAGACGGGUAUGUGUCCCCGUCAGUGUAGGUUCAGACGGGUAUGUGUCCCCGUCAGUGUAGGUGGAGGCGGGUAUGUGUCCCCGUCAUUGUGGGUAGAGACGGGUAUGUGUCCCCGUCAGUGUGGGUGGAGACGGGUAUGUGUCCCCCGUCAGUGUAGGUUCAGACGGGUAUGUAUCCCCGUCAGUGUAGGUUCAGACGGGUAUGUGUCCCCGUCAGUGUAGGUUGAGACGGGUAUGUGUCCCCGUCAGUGUAGGUGGAGACAGGGAUACAUGUGUCCCCCGUCAGUGUAGGUUGAGACGGGUAUGUGUCCCCGUCAGUGUGGGUGGAGGCGGGUAUGUGUCCCCGUCAUUGUGGGUGGAGACGGGUAUGUGUCCCCGUCAUUGUGGGUGGAGACGGGUAUGUGUCCCCGUCAGUGUGGGUGGAGACGGGUAUGUGUCCCCGUCAGUGUGGGUGGAGACGGGUAUGUGUCCCCGUCAUUGUGGGUGGAGACGGGUAUGUGUCCCCGUCAGUGUGAAUGGAGACGGGUAUGUGUCCCCGUCAGUGUAGGUGGAGACAGGGAUACAUGUGUCCCCCGUCAAGGUGAUCUAGUCAGAGAGGCUGCAGGAGCAACACAUACCCGUCUCAGACACCAUAUAUUUAUUAUUGUUUAUAUAUACAUGUAUGUAUACUUGGGGAAUAGUGAAUUAAUAUAAGAAUAAGCCUAUUGUAUAUUUUGGUCUCAAACUUUAAUUUUAUAAUAAAAAGCAUGACUAAUAUAACGGCAAACGUCUUCCUGAA
rnacentral:misc_RNA from 1 species